GUGCCAGCAGCCGCGGUAAUACGUAGGGGGCGAGCGUUGUCCGGAAUUAUUGGGCGUAAAGCGCGCGCAGGCGGUCUCUUAAGUCUGAUGUGAAAGCCCACGGCUCAACCGUGGAGGGUCAUUGGAAACUGGGGGACUUGAGGGCAGGAGAGGAGAGCGGAAUUCCACGUGUAGCGGUGAAAUGCGUAGAGAUGUGGAGGAACACCAGUGGCGAAGGCGGCUCUCUGGCCUGCACCUGACGCUGAGGCGCGAAAGCGUGGGGAGCAAACAGGAUUAGAUACCCUGGUAGUCCACGCCGUAAACGAUGAGUGCUAAGUGUUAGAGGGGUCACACCCUUUAGUGCUGCAGCUAACGCGAUAAGCACUCCGCCUGGGGAGUACGGCCGCAAGCAUGAAACUCAAAGGAAUUGACGG
rnacentral:rRNA from 1 species